UUUUCCUGGUUGAUCCUGCCGGACCCCACUGCUAUCGAGGUGGGACUAAGCCAUGCUAGUCGAACGAUCCCGAACUAUGGCGGGGAAGUGGCAUACUGCUCAGUAACACGUAGCUAACCUACCCUCGGGACGGAGACACCCCCGGGAAACUGGGGCUAAUACCAGAUAGGAGUGGAGGUCUGGAAUGGUUCCAUCCUUAAAAGAUUUUGCGUCCAUGUUUCUUAUUCACGCCCAAGGAUGGGGCUGCGCCCGAUCAGGGUGUUGGUGAGGUAACGGCUCACCAAACCUUUGACCGGUACGGGCCGUGAGAGCGGUACCCCAGAGAUGGGCACUGAAACAGGGGCCCAGGCCCUACGGGGCGCCACAGGCGCGAAACCUCCACUGUGCACGAAAGUGCGAUGGGGCUACCUCGAGUGGCCCCCGAAUAAGGCCGUUUUUCUCUGGUGUAAUGAGCCGUAGGAAUAAGAGGGGGGCAAGACUGUUGUCAGCCGCCGCGGUAACACCAGCUCCUCGAGGUGGUGGGGACGAUUAUUUGGCCUAAAGCGUCCGUAGCCGGUUUGAUAAGUCUUUCGUUAAAUCCAGCGUCUUAAGCGGUGGGCUGCGAGAGAGACUGUAGAUCUAGGGGGUGGGAGAGGUCAGCUGUAUUUGGGGGGUAGGGGUGAUAUCCUAUUAUCCCGGGAGGCCCCCCAGUGGAGAAGGCUGUUGUCUAGAACGCUCUUGGCGGUGAGGGACGAGAGGUGGGGGAGCGAAUCGGAUUAUAUACCCGUGUUGUCCCAGCUGUAAACGUAUGCAGGUUAGUGUGUUGGGGCGGUCACGUGCCGCUUCAGUGCCGCAGGGAAGCCAUUAAGCCUGCCGCUUGGGAAGUACGGCCGCAAGGUUGAAACUUAAAGGAAUUGGCGGGGGAGCACCACAGGGGGUGAAGCUUGCGGUUUAAUUGGAUUCAACGCCGGAAAUCAUUAGU
rnacentral:rRNA from 1 species